UACGAAGGGUGCAAACGUUGCUCGGAAUCAUUGGGCGUAAAGCGCACGUAGGCGGCCAUUCAAGUCGGAUGUGAAAUCCCUCGGCUCAACCAAGGAAGUGCAUCCGAAACUGGGUGGCUUGAGUACCAAAGAGGAACGCGGAAUUCCCGGUGUAGAGGUGAAAUUCGUAGAUAUCGGGAGGAACACCAGUGGCGAAGGCGGCGUUCUGGGUGGAUACUGACGCUGAGGUGCGAAAGCGUGGGGAGCAAACAGG
rnacentral:rRNA from 1 species